rnacentral:rRNA from 1 species
CAAUAAGCUACAUAAGAGCGUAUGGGGAAUGCCUAGGCUCUCAGAGGCGAUGAAGGACGUGAUAAGCUGCGAAAAGCUGCGGGGACGGGCACAUACCGAUUGAUCCGCAGAUAUCCGAAUGGGGCAACCCACCAUAUUGAAGAUAUGGUAUCCAGCAAUGGAGGCAAACCCGGAGAACUGAAACAUCUAAGUACCCGGAGGAGAAGAAAACAAAAGUGAUUCCGUAAGUAGUGGCGAGCGAACGCGGAUUAGCCCAAACCGGCAUUGUUACGGCAAUGUCGGGGUUGUAGGACCACAACAUUCGAAGCAGGAUGAAUUAGAACCCUUUGGAAAGAGGGGCCAUAGACGGUGAUAGCCCGGUAUAGGUAAAGAAUGCAUAGAUAGUGGUAUCCUGAGUAGUGCGGGGCACGUGAAACCCUGUAUGAAUUUGGCGGGACCAUCCGUUAAGGCUAAAUACUCCUGAGAGACCGAUAGUGAACCAGUACCGUGAGGGAAAGGUGAAAAGAACCCUGAAUAAGGGAGUGAAAGAGAACCUGAAACCAUACGCUUACAAGCGGUCGGAGCCC